rnacentral:tRNA from 1 species
GCACCCGUAGCUCAGUUGGAUAGAGCGUCUGUUUGCGGAACAGAAGGCCAGGGGUUCAAAUCCCUUCGGGUGUACCA